GACCCAGGUCCAGUCCAGCUGGCCCAGAUGGUAAACAACAAGCUGAGAUGGGGUCAGGGGCAGAGUGCUGGGCCAGGAGGCAGGGUCAGGUCCUGACUGUGUCACGCGGUGUGUGGCCCCGGGGACGUGACCUCCCAGAGUGGUCCUUCAGCUCGGCUGAAAUGCCUUGGAGGCCGCGGGAGACCUCAGUCGCUGGGACAUUACUCUUAUUGUUAUUGUCCCAUUGUUACUACAGAGGAAGCAGGUUUAGAGUGACUGGCUUUGGCCGGUGCUGUUCAUUCAGUGGCUACCAUUUGCUCCUUCCCUCACUCAGCAAAUGUUUAUUCCUGUGACCUGCACCGUGUGCUGGGCCCUGGCCAGGGACGAGAUCAGACUAGAUCUGAAGUCUGGGGAGAGUGGUGAACAGGUGUCACCUCGAUCACCAGCUCUCAGUGGGUGAAAGCUGUAUUGAGAAGCGUGUGUUGAGAAGGAUUCCGAGGCUGCAUCUGGGCUGAGAGAGUGCUGUGAUCAAUUAGUAAUGCCUGCCACGAACACAGGAAGGGGAGCGUCAGCCAAGGCUUUUGCCAGUCUUAACAUGGAAGAACAGGAAGGACCUCAGACAGGAGACCCUCGUGACCGUGGCUGGCCUGCUACAUGAACUUGGCUGGCUGCCCCCCAGGAGAGGAGAAGACCCAUAGACCUUGGUUUUGACCUUGAGGAAAUGGAAAAACUUGGACCUUAAAGACCGCAGAUUACCGUGGCUAAGCUGUGGGCAGGCUGUGUGACCUCGGGCAUGUUCUCUAACCUCUCUGAGCCUCAUGCCCUGCUGAGGAUUCCAUGAGAUCACGAUUGUACCGUGCCGAGUAGACCUCCUGGCCUGCACCAAACUCUCAAGGAGCUUUCUUAUGACGAGGGAGCAGGUGAGCCUCCCCUCGAACAAACACAACCGACGAACUGUGUUCUCAUGUGGACAUGGCAAUGGCCCUUCCCUUUUUAAGCUGUGGUGAAAUCCUCCAUGUUGUAAAAGGAACCCUUGCAGGGUUAUCUGGGUACAGGCGAGGAGACCAGGGGAACAUCCUGCUCUGCUCCUAGAAGCUGUGACCACGGGAGAGGGACUUGGGGCUCUGGGCCUCAGCUUGCUCAUCUGCAAAGUGGGGACACUGGCCCUUCCCUCCCAGGGCCGCUGUGGGGCUCAGUGAAAGAACUUAAGGGCGCAGGACCUGGUGACCACAAGCCUGGAACCCCAUCUUUUUCACAAACUACGGAUGCCUGUUAUGGAGAAAGUGCUCGCUUUUUGAUUGUAGGGUUGGCCCAGGAGACUUGGUUUCUGUCCUAGGCUUCCUGGGAGAAACACAGUCUAGAGCUCCGGGGUUGAGCGAGCCCAGUUCCUUGGACCGGGAAGCCCCGCCCAGCAGCCCCUCCUGCUGCAGCCUGGUCACCAGUCACCACUGGUCCUGGCUUCCUCCUCACCCCCUGGAAGUGCGUGAUCUGUGGCUCCUCCCACCCCUUCCCUGCAGGCGCUGCCUGGCUGCCCUUUUCUGAGGGGCUGGAGGGGGGCUGGGGGUGCACAUUUUCCAGGCUCUUGUUCCCUGGCAGCUCCGAAAAUUAAUUGGCCUUUAA